rnacentral:rRNA from 1 species
CAAAGGAAUUGACGGGACCGCACAAGCAGCGGAGCGUGUGGUUUAAUUCGAUGCGACACGAAGAACCUUACCUGGGUUUGACAUGAAGGUAGUAGGGAAGCGAAAGCAGACCGACCCUUCGGGGAGCCUCCACAGGUGCUGCAUGGCUGUCGUCAGCUCGUGCCGUGAGGUGUUGGGUUAAGUCCGCUAACGAGCGCAACCCUCGCUGUGUGUUACAAGUGUCACACGGAACUGCCGGUCAUAAACCGGAGGAAGGUGGGAUGACGUCAAGUCAGCAUGGCCUUUAUAUCCUGGGCUACACACACGCUACAAUGGGAAAGGACAAUAGGUAGCGAAACCGCGAGGUGGAGCCAAUCCAGCAAAAUUUCCCUCAGUUCAGAUUGCAGGCUGCAACUCGCCUGCAUGAAGUUGGAGUUGCUAGUAAACGCAGGUCAGCCAUACUGCGUUGAAUACGUUCCCGGGGCUU